rnacentral:tmRNA from 1 species
GGGGCCGUACAUGGUUUCGACGGGGAUGCGGAGGGGCAGAUAAGCGAGCGGCGGCCCUGAACCGCCUGACAACGGGAAAUUAAAAAUGAACUGACAACUACAAUACUGUAGCAGUCGCAGCUUAAGUCUGUGACCGUCGACCCUAAGCCUCCUGCGGCGUAGGCAAUCGGCGUCGCAAAUGCAGGGAACCAGCCGUCCUAAGCUUUGCGGACGGUGGGACUUUAUGAAGCUACUGAAACCGGUAUCCUGUCUGUGGGAGCCCGGCAGAGGGAAUGUCAAUAUACAGACUGCGCUCGGAGAAAGUUUGUUCGUCUGGUCUUCGGACAGGGGUUCGACUCCCCUCGGCUCCACCA